UUAAUUUAUUUAUAGAUUUUGAGAAGAUUUAAGCAUAUAAUAAAUUUUAAAAAUUAAAAAAUAAUUUAAAUUUGUUAUCCGAACCCUAACCCGAAUCGAGCCCACAAAGAUCUGAACCGGAACCGAACCCGAACCAAAAUUUAGAAAUAUCCAAAUGGGGAUGAAAUCUUUGAAUUCAAAAUCCAAAACUCGAAUAGACCCGAACCGAACUCGAAUGGGUACCCGACCAUUCAUCCCUAACUCGGCGAAUCCACUUCGCAAUCUCAAAAGGAAUUCCCAAACAUGAGUCACUCUUUUAUAGAUAGAAACAACACAACACCAACGUUUAAAUUUGCUCUACUUUAUAAUAUUUUUUUGGUUUGGUCUUAAACAUGACUAAUUAAUUUGGACUUAUCGCUUGAAUGGUUUAGGAAAGCAGUUCUGUUUUCUUAUCUUACAUAAAUUGAAAAUAUGAAUUCAAUAUCACAACAAAAUCAAGCUCUAAUCAGACACACAACAUAAUACAUCUGUGUAUUUUAGUCCAUCUCACAGUCUUAUACUAAAUGGUC
rnacentral:lncRNA from 1 species